rnacentral:rRNA from 1 species
UACGAAGGGGGCUAGCGUUGCUCGGAAUCACUGGGCGUAAAGCGCACGUAGGCGGCUUCUUAAGUCAGGGGUGAAAUCCUGGAGCUCAACUCCAGAACUGCCUUUGAUACUGAGAAGCUUGAGUCCGGGAGAGGGUGAGUGGAACUGCGAGUGUAGAGGUGAAAUUCGUAGAUAUUCGCAAGAACACCAGUGGCGAAGGCGGCUCACUGGCCCGGUACUGACGCUGAGGUGCGAAAGCGUGGGGAGCAAACAGG